rnacentral:rRNA from 1 species
UACGUAGGUGGUAAGCGUUAUCCGGAUUUAUUGGGCGUAAAGGGAACGCAGGCGGUCUUUUAAGUCUGAUGUGAAAGCCUUCGGCUUAACCGGAGUAGUGCAUUGGAAACUGGGAGACUUGAGUGCAGAAGAGGAGAGUGGAACUCCAUGUGUAGCGGUGAAAUGCGUAGAUAUAUGGAAGAACACCAGUGGCGAAAGCGGCUCUCUGGUCUGUAACUGACGCUGAGGUUCGAAAGCGUGGGUAGCAAACAGG